rnacentral:lncRNA from 1 species
AUAAAUCUAACUUAUAGAAGCAGGAAAACACCCGGAUUCAUAGCAACACCGAUUGACAGUUCUUGCAGAAAAUCUACAAAAACAAGACUAAACAUCCUCCUAAACCCUCAGAACACUAUCUCCUAAACUACUCUAACUCUUCAAAACCAAAAAUUCAACCCCAGAACCAGAAAAUUACAUAAUUGCAAAUACGAGAGCUAAAGAAAUGAACUUUACAUGAAAUCGCUAAAAUGGGGAACUUCUCAAGCACACAUAGAGAAUUGAACAUGCACCAAUGUGAAGCCUGGGGAAAGCCAUAUCUUUUAAACUACCCUUACUCUUCCAAAACAACAAUUCAACACCUGAAUCACAUAACAUAGCCACACAAAAUUAAAAAAUACCCACAAAACCCAUUUUAAAAGAAAUUGCAAAUACCAAACUAAAGGGUCGAACUUUACAUGAAAUCUAAAAAACUGGAACGUUUUUCAAGAAAACAGAGGCUGAAAAUGAGCUAAUCGAAUAUAAAGCCUGAGCAAAACCCUAUCUCCUAAAUGACUCUUACUCAUCAAAACAAAAGAUUCAACCUCAGAAUCACAAAAAUAAGCUAAAAUUAAACAAUACCCACAAAACCCAUUGUAGCAAAUUUGCACAUACCAAAGCUAAAGAAUCAAACUUUACAUGAAUUCAAUAAAAAUCAGAACUUUUUCAAGAAACUAGAGGCUGAACAUAAGCUAAAAUAAGGCCUGAACAAAACCCUAUCUCAGAACCACAAAAAUAAACAAAUUAAAUAAUAUAUAUAAACCCCAUUGUAGCAAAAUUUGCAAAUAGCAAAGCUAAAGAAUCAAACUUUUACAAGAAUUAAAUAAAAAUUGGAACUUUUUCAACAAACUAGAGGCUGAACAUAAGCUAACAUAAAGCCUGAAAAAAACCCUAUCUCCUAAAUAACUCUUACUCAUUAAAACCAAAAAUUCAACCUCAGAAUCACAAAUAUAAGAAAAAUUAAACAAUACCCACAAAACCCAUUGUAGCAAAUUUGGCACAAACCAAAGCUAAAGAAUCAAACUUUACAUAAAAAAAAAACCCCAAAAAAUUGAACUUUUCAAGAAACUUUAAGAACUGAACAAAAGAGAGAACUACCUUUUUCUUCCAACCAGGAGGAGCUGGAAGUUCAAUGGAAACAACUUCAUUUUUCUCCACAGAGCUUGCCAUUUUCCACCAAACCAAUUUUUCCCCCCAAAAAAAAAGAAGCAACUUCUUCCAGCCAGGAGGAGCUGGAAGUUCAAUGGACACUACUUCAUUUUUCUCCACAGAGCUUGCCAUUUUCCACCUACCCAAUUUUCCAAAAAUA